UCCGGUUUGUCACCGGCAGUCUCGCAUGAGUCCCCAACUAAAUGCUGGCAACAUGCGACGGGGGUUGCGCUCGUUGCGGGACUUAACCCAACGUCUCACGACACGAGCUGACGACAGCCAUGCACCACCUGUGAUCCUGCCCCGAAGGGAAGCCAUGUUUCCAUGGCGGUCAGGAACAUGUCAAGCCCAGGUAAGGUUCUUCGCGUUGCGUCGAAUUAAACCACAUGCUCCGCUGCUUGUGCGGGCCCCCGUCAAUUCCUUUGAGUUUUAGCCUUGCGGCCGUACUCCCCAGGCGGAGUGCUUAAUGUGUUGACUUCGGCACAGCAGGGGUCGAUACCCGCUACACCUAGUCUGCAUCGUUUACGGCGUGGACUAC
rnacentral:misc_RNA from 1 species